AAAGCCAUCUCUUUAUACGUCAACUUUCGUUAUUGCAUUCCAGAUUUGGUCUCCUGAUCCUAAUGGAGAGGUGGAUUGACGGGGAUGAAAAUGCCAAUCAGAUGCUUGCUAGGGUUUUAAUGGCCCGACCUUUUCUGCUUCCUCCCCCGCUUCAUAGGGUUCCUCUUCGCGUCGGAAAUGUCGUUGAGCUCAUUGGUCCGUCGCCUUCUGCCAAAACCCACAUUCUCACUCAGACUGCAAUCAGUUGCAUUCUUCCUAAAAGGUGGAAUGACGUAGAAUAUGGAGGGUUGGAUCGUUUGGUAGUUUUCGUCGACCUGGACUGUCGUUUUGAUGUCAUGCGUCUUUCGGAAAUGCUGAAAUAUCGGAUUAUGGAAGUUGAGGGGGCAGUUGAUGGAGAUCACUAUAAGACAUUAUAUAAUUUGUGUAUGAGCCGUUUCCUAUACAUCCAUUGCUACAAUAGUUUUGAUUUCCUUCAAACUCUCAAGACUUUGCAUUAUCGCUUACAAAAGGAGGAAGAAGACCAUGGGGUUAGUUCACUCAUGCUUAUGAUUGACAGGAACUUCAUCAAAGAUAAUCAGCAAGCUGAAAGAGUUUCGAGGAAUGUGACUAGAAAUGAUCAACCUAUUCAGUAUCGUGAGUAUAUGCCUUCUGUCUGGCAGGCCUUUGUUACACACCGAAUUCUCGUUCGUGCUUCAGAUGAUUAUCGUGUUAUGAGCAAUCAUGAAAACUGCUCGUUCUUUACAUUGGAAUGGUUGUUGCCGAGAUUGAAUUCUUCGGAAAGACUUGUCGUGAAAGACGCAGGAAUCUUUGUUGAUUGACGCAGCACGCUUGCUAGGUUGUGAUGCAGAAUUGCUUUGCACCCUCUAUUACUUUUUAAAACGAUCGCAGGGCAUAGAGCCGCAACAGUGAGAACUUUCCCAGGCAGUACGCCUCUGAGAUCCUUGUACAUGCACUCGAUGUCCUGUCUGAAUCAUACCAAGCAGGAACAUCUGCAAUGCCAAUCAGCAGGCGCACGCCAUUCUGGAAAAUACCCUGAAAUAGAUGAAAAUGUAGAAAAAUAAAAUGAACAAUCAGGUCACAUGCCUUCCUUCGAUGGAUUCAGAGCGACAGAAAUCUGGAAUCGUUGCUGUCAAAGAGAGCCGUUGGCAACUACGUCUCAGAUUCACUGUUCCGGCGAGUCUGCGUCACUGUCUGACUGGCUCUCUGGAGUCCAAAUCAGCGCACGCAAGGUGGGGGUCCAAUGCCCUAUAUGCUUGAGAAAAGGCUCUAUCGUUUGAUAACUGGCAGAUAUUUUUUAGGCCUAGUUUUGAUUUUUUUAAAAAAAUAUAUAUAUAAUGUCACAGAAAACCAGCGUUAGAGGGAAAUAAAAAGCAGGUCAUGUGAGAUUUUGUAAGUGAUCUACAUCCUCAAAGUGGAUGGUUAAAAUUAACAAGAUUUAGUUUUUUUGAAA